AUUGAACGCUGGCGGAAUGUUUUACACAUGCAAGUCGAACGGCAGCACGGGGCAACCUGGUGGCGAGUGGCGAACGGGUGAGUAAUACAUCGGAACGUGCCCAAUCGUGGGGGAUAACGCAGCGAAAGUUACGCUAAUACCGCAUACGAUCUACGGAUGAAAGCGGGGGAUCGCAAGACCUCGCGCGAAUGGAGCGGCCGAUGUCAGAUUAGGUAGUUGGUGGGGUAAAGGCUCACCAAGCCAACGAUCUGUAGCUGGUCUGAGAGGACGACCAGCCACACUGGAACUGAGACACGGUCCAGACUCCUACGGGAGGCAGCAGUGGGGAAUUUUGGACAAUGGGCGCAAGCCUGAUCCAGCCAUUCCGCGUGCAGGAUGAAGGCCUUCGGGUUGUAAACUGCUUUUGUACGGAACGAAAAGGUCCUGGUUAAUACCUGGGGCUCAUGACGGUACCGUAAGAAUAAGCACCGGCUAACUACGUG
rnacentral:rRNA from 1 species